GACGAACGCUGGCGGCGUGCUUAACACAUGCAAGUCGAACGGAAAGGCCCUGCUUUUGUGGGGUGCUCGAGUGGCGAACGGGUGAGUAACACGUGAGUAACCUGCCCUUGACUUUGGGAUAACUUCAGGAAACUGGGGCUAAUACCGGAUAGGAGCUCCUGCUGCAUGGUGGGGGUUGGAAAGUUUCGGCGGUUGGGGAUGGACUCGCGGCUUAUCAGCUUGUUGGUGGGGUAGUGGCUUACCAAGGCUUUGACGGGUAGCCGGCCUGAGAGGGUGACCGGCCACAUUGGGACUGAGAUACGGCCCCGACUCCUACGGGAGGCAGCAGUGGGGAAUAUUGCACAAUGGGCGGAAGCCUGAUGCCGCAACGCCGCGUGCGGGAUGACGGCCUUCGGGUUGUAAACCGCUUUCGCCUGUGACGAAGCGUGAGUGACGGUAAUGGGUAAAGAAGCACCGGCUAACUACGUG
rnacentral:rRNA from 1 species